GCAUAGCUGAAUAUGGUGUUUUUUUCAGUAGUUUACAAAGCCAGACACCAUGCAAAAGUAAAGUCUUCUCUUGAAAAUGCCUACAAUAGAUGGUAUGCUAAGUUUGUUCAUAACAUACCAUUUAAAAAAAUAAAUAAAGAC
ensembl:snoRNA